UUGUCUCAAAGAUUAAGCCAUGCAUGUCUCAGUACAAGCCAAAAUAAGGUGAAACCGCGAAAGGCUCAUUAAAUCAGUUAUGGUUCCUUAGAUCGUACCCACACUUACUUGGAUAACUGUGGUAAUUCUAGAGCUAAUACAUGCAAACAGAGCUCCGACCGGAGACGGAAGGAGCGCUUUUAUUAGAUCAAAACCGAUCGGUGGUGGAUCCGUCUGCCAUCGUACAAUUUGGUGAAUCUGAAUAACUUUAAGCUGAUCGCACGGUCUCGCACCGGCGACGCAUCUUUCAAAUGUCUGCCUUAUCAACUGUCGAUGGUAGGUUCUGCGCCUACCAUGGUUGUAACGGGUAACGGGGAAUCAGGGUUCGAUUCCGGAGAGGGAGCCUGAGAAACGGCUACCACAUCCAAGGAAGGCAGCAGGCGCGCAAAUUACCCACUCCCGGCACGGGGAGGUAGUGACGAAAAAUAACGAUACGGGACUCAUCCGAGGCCCCGUAAUCGGAAUGAGUACACUCUAAACCCUUUAACGAGGAUCAAUUGGAGGGCAAGUCUGGUGCCAGCAGCCGCGGUAAUUCCAGCUCCAAUAGCGUAUAUUAAAGUUGUUGCGGUUAAAAAGCUCGUAGUCGAAUUUGUGUCUCGCACCGCCGGUUCAUCGUUCGCGGUGUUAACUGGCGUGCCGCGGGACGUCCUGCCGGUGGGCUUAGCUCGAGAGGGCGGCCCAAAUCAAUCCUGCCGCGGUGCUCUUCAUUGAGUGUCGAGGUGGGCCGGCACGUUUACUUUGAACAAAUUAGAGUGCUUAAAGCAGGCUAAAAUUUCGCCUGAAUACUGUGUGCAUGGAAUAAUGGAAUAGGACCUCGGUUCUAUUUUGUUGGUUUUCGGAACCCCGAGGUAAUGAUUAAUAGGAACGGAUGGGGGCAUUCGUAUUGCGACGUUAGAGGUGAAAUUCUUGGAUCGUCGCAAGACGGACAGAAGCGAAAGCAUUUGCCAAAAACGCUUUCAUUGAUCAAGAACGAAAGUUAGAGGUUCGAAGGCGAUCAGAUACCGCCCUAGUUCUAACCAUAAACGAUGCCAGCUAGCGAUCCGCCGACGUUCCUCCGAUGACUCGGCGGGCAGCUUCCGGGAAACCAAAGCUUUUGGGUUCCGGGGGAAGUAUGGUUGCAAAGCUGAAACUUAAAGGAAUUGACGGAAGGGCACCACCAGGAGUGGAGCCUGCGGCUUAAUUUGACUCAACACGGGAAACCUCACCAGGCCCGGACACCGGAAGGAUUGACAGAUUGAGAGCUCUUUCUUGAUUCGGUGGGUGGUGGUGCAUGGCCGUUCUUAGUUGGUGGAGCGAUUUGUCUGGUUAAUUCCGAUAACGAACGAGACUCUAGCCUGCUAAAUAGGCGUAUUUCGACAUCCCAAAGGCCCGCCGGUAUCCGGGUUAACCCCCGUUUAUUGUGCGCGGUUUUUACUGUCGGCGUACAAACAAUUCUUCUUAGAGGGACAGGCGGCGUUUAGCCGCACGAGAUUGAGCAAUAACAGGUCUGUGAUGCCCUUAGAUGUUCUGGGCCGCACGCGCGCUACACUGAAGGAAUCAGCGUGUCCUCCCUGUCCGAGCGGACCGGGUAACCCGCUGAACCUCCUUCGUGCUAGGGAUUGGGGCUUGCAAUUGUUCCCCAUGAACGAGGAAUUCCCAGUAAGCGCGAGUCAUAAGCUCGCGUUGAUUACGUCCCUGCCCUUUGUACACACCGCCCGUCGCUACUACCGAUUGAAUGAUUUAGUGAGGUCUUCGGACCGGUACGCGGUGGCGUCAUCGCGUCGCCGAUGUUGCUGGGAAGAUGACCAAACUUGAUCAUUU
rnacentral:rRNA from 1 species